rnacentral:tRNA from 1 species
GGAAGGGUGUCAGAGUGGUCGAAUGAACCGGUUUCGAAAACCGGCAGGGGCGCAAGCUCCUCGUGGGUUCAAAUCCCACCCCUUCCG